rnacentral:rRNA from 1 species
ACGGCUCAGUAACACGUGGCUAACCUACCCUUGAGACGGAGACAACCCCGGGAAACUGGGGCUAAUCCCAGAUAGAUGAGAACUCCUGGAACGGGUUCUCGUCCAAAAGGCGUCUAAGCCAUGCUUUUAGGCGUUGCUCAAGGAUGGGGCCGCGACCGAUCAGGCUGUUGGUGAGGUAACGGCUCACCAAACCUUUAACCGGUACGGGCCGUGGGAGCGGGAGCCCGGAGAUGGGAACUUAGACAAGGUCCCAGGCCCUACGGGGCGCAGCCGUUGCGAAAACUUGUCAAUGCACGAAAGUGUGAACAGGCUACCCCGAGUGCUGUCCGCUGAGGAUGGCUUUUCUCUGCUGUUAAAAGGCGGGGGAAUAAGGAGAGGGCAAGUCUGGUGUCAGCCGCCGCGGUAAUACCAGCUCUCCGAGUGGUGGGGAUGAUUAUUGGGCCUAAAGCGUCCGUAGCCUGCCUUUCAAGUCUCUCGUUAAAUCCGGCGAUUCAAUCGUUGGACUGCGGGAGAUACUGUUAGGCUAGGGGGCGGGAGAAGCCGACGGUAUUUCCGGGGUAGGGGUAAAAUCCUAUAAUCCCNGGAGGANCACCAGUGGCGUAGGCGGUCGGCUAGCACGCGCUCGACGGUGAGGNACGAAAGCUGGGGGNAGCAACCGGAUNANAUACCNNGAUAGUNCAGCUGUAACGAUGCUGCUAGGUGUUGGGGUGGCACGAGCCACNNNAGUGCCGCAGG